UCCCUGGCAGUCUAGUGGUUAAGACUCUGCAUUCUCACUACGGUGGGUCCAGGUUCAAUCCCUGGCUGGAGAA
rnacentral:tRNA from 1 species